rnacentral:rRNA from 1 species
GAUGAACGCUGGCGGCGUGCCUAAUACAUGCAAGUCGAGCGAACAGACGAGGCUCUUGCUCCUCUGACGUUAGCGACGGAUGGGUGAGUAGCACGUGGAUUACCUACCUCUAAGACUGGGAUAACUUCGGGUAACCGGAGCUCAUACCGGAUAAUAUAUUGAACCUCAUGGUUCAAUAGUGAAAUACGGUUUUGCUGUCACUUCUACCUGGCUCCUCGCCGGAUUAGCUAGUUGGUAACGUAACGGCUUACCAAGGCAACGAUGCGUAGCCGACCUGAGAGGGUGAUCGGCCACACUGGAACUGAGACACGGUCCAGACUCCUACGGGAGGCAGCAGUAGGGAAUCGUCCGCAAUGGGCGAAAGCCUGACGGAGCAACGCCGCGUGAGUGAUGAAGGUCUUCGGAUCGUAAAACUCUGUUAUUAGGGAAGAACAAAUGUGUAAGUAACUAUGCACGUCUUGACGGUACCUAAUCAGAAAGCCACGGCUAACUACGUG